rnacentral:rRNA from 1 species
AUGGAUGUGGAUCUUCUCUGUUUGCGUCGUCGAGGUAUUGUUCGCAUACAAGUGGCUGUGCUAAACCUCGAUGCUUUCAACACGAGCACGAUUAAUUCUCUCUCAUCGGAUGUGGUCGUUCAAGGCAAGGGGUAUGAGUUUCGGUACAGUUUGGAAAACUCAGACUUUCGUGUCGAUGCUGAUUUCGUGCCGCGCGUCUGGGAGCAUGGAGAUGAUCCUGAGGAUGACAAGGGGCAGGACAGAGAGGAAACUAUGAGGACUAAUGAUCCAAGCAAGAGGUCAAAAGCAUCGUCGUCAUCCAAUGCCCAGAAGAUUACUCCUACCUCGGGAGGAGUGGUGCCCAUGCAGCUUGCCGCAUCAACAUCUGCUUUGAGCCGGACUGUGUCGCCAACAAAGAUCAUCGCUGUUACACCGUUGAACACAAAUCGUCGUGCACCAACCAUGGAUGCUUCACCGACGAUACAGGGGCCGUCUUCGUUGGGUACGCUACCUCCAGCCACUUCUGAUUUGGCGCAGGGGAUCAUUGAGACACCGAUACAUCAAGUGGAACCUGCUACCCCGCUGCCAUCUACUCCUGUGACGCAGCAUCAUGGCGACGGCUGUGCCAUGGCGCCACCCCCGCUGGAUGGGUUUGCGUCAUCAGAGGACACUGCGGACGACUCCCUAUCAUCUCCGACGUCCGACACUCGGUCUCCUUCCCGUCGGGGUGUGAUCUUUUCCCCGGCGGUUAGGGCGGACCAUGAGUCGGCGAUGGCGGCGCUGCGAGCUUUGUCCUCCGCGCCUUCUUCGCCAGGAGGAGCGUUGGCGGCUGAGGCGAUCGCCAAGGUGGAGGGCGAGGUGCAGCCCUUGCAGUCUCCUUCAUCACCUAACCCGUCUACACCGCCUUUCGUCAGUGAGACGGGCUCCGAGAUCGAUGUUACUCCUUCGUCGCUGAGGCGUAGCGGGCGUCAUCAUGUCGGGACUGAUGGAUCAGCAACCACCGACGAGGAUACUAUGGUGAAGGCUAUGCGUAGGACUGCUGCACGCAACCUCGACUUUGAAGGUUAUUCAUGUUUGUACACGAUGGCUCCGUACUUGGUCUAUCCUGCAGAAGCCGGAAGACAGGGACAUUUUUAUGAUGGCGUCUACACGGCUGGAGCGUACGGCCAGGGAGGUUUUCUACCCCCAUGGAUGGCGGUGUGA